rnacentral:rRNA from 1 species
UGCAGUCGAGGGGUAUUGUUCUUCGGAAUGAGAGACCGGCGCACGAGUGCGUAACGCGUAUGCAAUCUACCUUUCACAGAGGGAUAGCCCAGAGAAAUUUGGAUUAAUACCUCAUAGCAUAAUGAGUUGGCAUCAACACAUUAUUAAAGUCACAACGGUGAAAGAUGAGCAUGCGUCCCAUUAGCUAGUUGGUAAGGUAACGGCUUACCAAGGCUACGAUGGGUAGGGGUCCUGAGAGGGAGAUCCCCCACACUGGUACUGAGACACGGACCAGACUCCUACGGGAGGCAGCAGUGAGGAAUAUUGGUCAAUGGGCGCAAGCCUGAACCAGCCAUGCCGCGUGCAGGAUGACGGUCCUAUGGAUUGUAAACUGCUUUUGUACGGGAAGAAACACUCCGACGUGUCGGAGCUUGACGGUACCGUAAGAAUAAGGAUCGGCUAACUCCGUGCCAGCAGCCGCGGUAAUACGGAGGAUCCAAGCGUUAUCCGGAAUCAUUGGGUUUAAAGGGUCCGUAGGCGGUUUAGUAAGUCAGUGGUGAAAGCCCAUCGCUCAACGGUGGAACGGCCAUUGAUACUGCUAGACUUGAAUUAUUGGGAAGUAACUAGAAUAUGUAGUGUAGCGGUGAAAUGCUUAGAGAUUACAUGGAAUACCAAUUGCGAAGGCAGGUUACUACCAAUGGAUUGACGCUGAUGGACGAAAGCGUGGGUAGCGAACAGGAUUAGAUACCCUGGUAGUCCACGCCGUAAACGAUGGAUACUAGCUGUUGGGAGCAAUCUCAGUGGCUAAGCGAAA